rnacentral:rRNA from 1 species
GAUGAACGCUGGCGGCGUGCCUAAUACAUGCAAGUCGAGCGAACAGACGAGGAGCUUGCUCCUCUGACGUUAGCGGCGGACGGGUGAGUAACACGUGUAUAACCUACCUAUAAGACUGGGAUAACUUCGGGAAACCGGAGCUAAUACCGGAUAAUAUAUUGAACCGCAUGGUUCAAUAGUGAAAGACGGUUUUGCUGUCACUUAUAGAUGGAUCCGCCCCGCAUUAGCUAGUUGGUAAGGUAACGGCUUACCAAGGCAACGAUGCGUAGCCGACCUGAGAGGGUGAUCGGCCACACUGGAACUGAGACACGGUCCAGACUCCUACGGGAGGCAGCAGUAGGGAAUCUUCCGCAAUGGGCGAAAGCCUGACGGAGCAACGCCGCGUGAGUGAUGAAGGUCUUCGGAUCGUAAAACUCUGUUAUUAGGGAAGAACAAAUGUGUAAGUAACUAUGCACGUCUUGACGGUACCUAAUCAGAAAGCCACGGCUAACUACGUG